GGUAUCCAUCAGGGUGGCCAGGCUAACCUUGUUUCUUCUUCAUCCUGGAAUAUUCUCCUGCAUAUAAUUGGGGAUCUUCUCAUGUGCUAUAUUCUGCGGCAUUCAUCAGUCUUUUUGCCCAUUAAAAAGAGUGAUUACUUUCAGGUGACUGGUGUUCCACUCAACAUUGUUCUGCGCAAGCCUAUAUUUGCCAGUACCAUGGCAAGAAAACAACAAUCCAGAUCUACAAAAGUCAAAU